rnacentral:rRNA from 1 species
ACUGGCGGACUCAGCGCGGUGGUCGCACCUGAUCCCAUGCCGAACUCAGAAGUGAAACGCCGUAGCGCCGAUGGUAGUGUGGGGUCUCCCCAUGCGAGAGUAGGGAACUGCCAGGC